rnacentral:misc_RNA from 1 species
GGAAGGAUCAUUAACAAAUUUUCCCAACCAAACACGUUUGUGAACUGUUAUCAAGUCCAUGGUGAGCCCCGUCCUAGGCUGCAUUGACUACUUUGUGUCUUGCAGUUCUGGGCGGACCAUCAUGUUUAUUUACGUUUGACUUACAACUGAACUGAGACUUUAUUUUAAAUAAAGACAACUUUUAGCAACGGAUCUCUAGGCUCUCGCAACGAUGAAGAACGCAGCGAAAUGCGAUAAGUAAUGUGAAUUGCAGAAACCGUGAAUCAUCAAAUCUUUGAACGCACAUUGCACUGUCUGGAAUUCCGGGCAGUAUGCCUGUUUGAGCAUCAGUUCCACCUCAUCUAAGUUGAUUCGCAAGAGUUGCUUGGGUGAACUUGAGUCUUGUUAGCGCUUCAAUGCUAACUGACUUGGAAUUGAGAAGGCGCGCUUGGGAAGUGCUCUGUAGAACUAUUGUCUUAGGACUUAAUCUGCGACACUUUGCAAGUUCACCUUUCAAAACUUUAAAUGCCUUGGCCAGACUUUUUGUCUGGUCUCGUCAGAUUAUUGAUCUCAAAUCAGGCAAGAUUACCCGCUGAACUUAAGCAUAUUAAUAAGCGGAGGAAAGAAACUAACAAGGAUUCCCCCAGUAACGGCGAGUGAAGCGGGAUCAGCUCAAAUUUUUAAUCUCCUCGGAGAAUUGUAGUUUAAAGAAGUGUUUUCGAUGGCAUCCUAGGUAAAAGUCCCUUGGAACAGGGCGUCAUAGAGGGUGAGAAUCCCGUACAUGAUCUAGGUAAUGUCACACUGUGAUACGCUUUCAAAGAGUCGGAUUGUUUGGGAAUGCAGUCCAAAGUGGGUGGUAUAUUCCAUCUAAGGCUAAAUAUUGGCGAGAGACCGAUAGCGAACAAGUACCGUGAGGGAAAGAUGAAAAGAACUUUGAAAAGAGAGUUAAAUAGUACGUGAAAUUGCUAAAAGGGAAACGAUUGAAAUCAGUGUUAUGCCUAGGAAAUCAAUCGCCAGUAUCUGGCGGUGCACUUUUCUAGGCGUAAGUCAACAUCAGUUUGGGGACAUGGAAAAAAUUUCAGGAAGGUGGCUGGCUCUCGAGUCAGUGUUAUAGCCUGGGAUUAUGCAUGGACCUGGACUGAGGACUGCAGUGCUUUCUUGGGACUUCUCGUAUUUUUUAGGCAUUGAGAUGUAUUCUGCAUGCAGAGUGCGUUUCUCUGUCUGGCUAAUGCGGGUUUGUUCACACCAGCGCUUAGGAUGUUGACGAAAUGGUUUUAAACGACCCGUCUUGAAACACGGACCAAGGAGUCUAACAUACAUGCGAGUGUUUGGGUGUUAAACUCAUCCGCGAAAUGAAAGUGAACGUAGGUGGGAUCCGCAAGGUGCACCAUCGACCGAUCUGGAUAUUUAUUGAUAGAUUUGAGUACGAGCAUAUCUGUUGGGACCCGAAAGAUGGUGAACUAUGCCUGAAUAGGGUGAAGCCAGAGGAAACUCUGGUGGAGGCUCGUAGCGAUUCUGACGUGCAAAUCGAUCGUCAAAUUUGGGUAUAGGGGCGAAAGACUAAUCGAACCAUCUAGUAGCUGGUUCCCUC